GAUGAACGCUGGCGGCGUGCUUAACACAUGCAAGUCGAACGAAGCGAUUAAACGGAAGUUUUCGGAUGGAAGUUUAAUUGACUUAGUGGCGGACGGGUGAGUAACGCGUGGGUAACCUGCCUCAUACAGGGGGGAUAACAGUUGGAAACGACUGCUAACACCGCAUGAAACGGUAGUGUCGCAUGACACAAUCGUCAAAUAUUUAUAGGUAUGAGAUGGGCCCGCGUCUGAUUAGCUAGUUGGUGGGGUAAUGGCCUACCAAGGCAACGAUCAGUAGCCGGCUUGAGAGAGUGACCGGCCACAUUGGGGACUGAGACACGGCCCAAACUCCUACGGGAGGCAG
rnacentral:rRNA from 1 species